AUAAUCACAAACUGUCUUUAGAACAUUUCUACACAUACAGUCGCUUGCGGCUGUUGAGUCAGCGGAAUGUGGCGUUUCGUCUUUGUGCUCCUGCUUCUUGGAGGUUGUGGUGCCCAUGGGGCCGAAUGGAAGAUUAUAAUUCAUACAUCUGACAAAAAAGAUGCGGGAACACAGUCCGACAUCUAUAUUACUCUCCAUGGAUCUCGCGGAUCUUCUGCAGAAAUAGAGUUAAUUAAUUAUUACGACCACUUUCAGAGAAAUCAGAUCGAAAGCUUUUUUGUUACAACGGACGACAUUGGUGAAGUGUGCUCACUGACCAUCAGGUCUGCCGGUAAUUACUUUUGCCCUAACUGGCAUCUCCGAGAGAUUGUGGUUCAGGGAAGUUCACACAAGAGAUUUUGGUGCGACUGCUGGUUAUCAUAUAAAGAAGGAUAUCAGAGGGAACUCCAACCUGAUGUCCCAUGCUCCAGGCAGUAGAAAUAAAGUUUAUUCACCUGAUGGAACACCUUGCUCAUCCGCUAACUGGAAGACAUUUAAAGAUAUAAAAAUGAACAUUCUUGAAAAUUGAGGCAAAAAUGUGUUCUAUAGAAAGACACUAUACUCAAUGAUCUGCAAAUUUAAUACUGCUUGAAUAUUAUUUUGAAAAAAAAACUACAUUUUCUAAGUAUUAUCUAACCCUAAAGAGUAGUCAACUAUAAACGCUUCUGCCAAAGUCUACCUUAUAUCUAUCUAUCUAUUCCUCUUCGUGCAUCAGGUUGCACAUAAGGCCUCAACCAGAGUCCGCCACUGAUGUCGAUCGGCUGAAACCCGCUCUAGGUGACCCCAUGUCCAGCCCUUUC